rnacentral:tRNA from 1 species
UUCCACCAAUGGAUAGCUCAUUUGGUUAGAGCGUGGUGCUAAGAAUGCCAAGGUUACAGGUUCUAUCCCCAUAUGGGAAA